rnacentral:rRNA from 1 species
ACAACGAAGAGUUUGAUCCUGGCUCAGGAUGAACGCUAGCGGCAGGCUUAACACAUGCAAGUUGCGGGGCAGCGGGGUCUUCGGACUGCCGGCGACCG